AACGAACGCUGGCGGCAGGCCUAACACAUGCAAGUCGAGCGGACCCUUCGGGGUUAGCGGCGGACGGGUGAGUAACGCGUGGGAAUAUGCCCUUCUCUACGGAAUAGUCCUGGGAAACUGGGGGUAAUACCGUAUACGCCCUUUGGGGGAAAGAUUUAUCGGGGAAGGAUUAGCCCGCGUUGGAUUAGGUAGUUGGUGGGGUAAUGGCCUACCAAGCCGACGAUCCAUAGCUGGUUUGAGAGGAUGAUCAGCCGCACUGGGACUGAGACACGGCCCAGACUCCUACGGGAGGCAGCAGUGGGGAAUCUUAGACAAUGGGGGCAACCCUGAUCUAGCCAUGCCGCGUGAGUGAUGAAGGCCUUAGGGUUGUAAAGCUCUUUCAGCUGGGAAGAUAAUGACGGUACCAGCAGAAGAAGCCCCGGCUAACUCCGUG
rnacentral:rRNA from 1 species